AGAAUUCAAGGGCAUCGAUUGAACUUUCUAAACACUCAGGUGAUCCCUUAAACCAUGACCCAACAAUGCUCCUAUUUUCUCUAUGCUCCUAGUUACAACCGGUACGGAAACAAACAUGCGUUGCUCUGUUCUUCUGGAUUGAUAAAACGAGAUAAAACGUUGCCAAGCAUGCUGUACACAUUUUGCCGCUGCUAGGAUACAUCGGACACGGCCAACGGAUACCAUGAUGCUCCGGUACAAUAAAAAUAUUAAAGCAUUGAAAGGGACUCCCUCGGAUCGACAGGAAUUGUAGUGUUGAUAUGAGCUGAGUAGUAUCUGUCAUGGUUACCAACCUGAUGACCUUCUAUCAAUGACGUAGCAUCCACUCCAAGUGUAUUGUACAGUACUUGUCAAUCAAUUGUCCUGUGGUUUUUCAUUAAGUAUUUGCCCUAUUGAUAUUUAAAUUACCUCUUGUUUGUUAUGUUGUCUUAGAAACAGGACGUUAGAUGAGAAAAAAACCCCCAUCAUAAUGGUAGGGCUGCUUAUCAGUGUAGUAGGUCUAUUGUAUAAGAUAAGCAUUGUAACUGGGUUGCGGGAGGGGAACGUUUACACCCCCAGUUCAAACUUGCUGAGUAAAACAUUCACAUUCAAUUACAGAACUUAAAACUAUAGAUCCCCAAAAUGUGCAUGUUUAUUUGAUUGAUGUAAAUACAGGUACAGCUUAUAUUUUUGUGUGUGAGGCAAGACUUUAUUUUUUUUAAGAUCGUCAGAGGGCGAAACAAAAUUGUUAUUGUUGAAUGUAAACAGGGAUGGAUGGUUAAAUUAAAUUUAUAUACUGUAAUUAGAAAGAAAUAUAGGCCUAUAUAUCUAUGAUGUCUGUAAAUUGUAACACCCAAAAUGUGAACGUAUACUAUAUUUAAUGGCUUAAACACUGAAUGGGGCUCCAUGUGACAGUACUUUAAUGUCAAAAUUAUGAUACAAAUAACAAAGGGUGCUGAACGCAGAAAUUAAUUAUGCAGUGCAUCAGUAUCUGCCAAUCAAUCAUGCACCGAUGCUCUUCUGGCGUAUGGUUCCAUUUUAAGAAGGAAAACGUUAUACUGUAAUUGUAAUAGAUAUACCGGUAAUUAAUUAACGAAACAUAAUAUCCAACUGUAUUCAUGUAUCAAAUAAAUUUAAAUACUGCACAGUGCUAGAACGUAAUACAGUAUGUGUAUUAACUGUUGAAGAGCAUAUUUAUAGCUGUAUUGUACAUUUAUAGUUUGAGAUUUAAAAACAAAGGGAUGUUGAUACAGUACACGAUAAGUCGCAAGAAUUCAAUCCACAGGUUAGGGCCCCCUAGGGUAGUGUUAUCUUAAUCUGUGUUAACUUUCGGCCCCUCCUCCUUUUGGACAUCUCUGGAUCCGCCCCUGAAUAAUGAAUGUACAGCAGUAAAUGUACAGUACAGUACUGUAACUGGCAAAGCAUAUGUGCAGCCUUGAGACACACUAUGCUCAAUUAUUACUUGAGUACAGUGCAGUAAUUACUGUAUAUAUAUAUAUAUAAUUAUUCAUAGACGGUUCGUGUUUUAACAGAUAUUAUGUUUAUAAAAAAUGUGCUCCGUAAACUCAUCCUUAAAAGCAACCUGCUUUUACUGCCGUUCAUAUUUCCAUCCAAAAAAACAAAAAACAUCCACACUUUCUGCUGAGCCCCGCCCACCCCUUGGAUAUUGUUAAGGUCCCACAAAACUACUGUGCUAAAUGUAUGCAAACUUUGUGGGACAUGCGCAUAUAUCAAGUCCUGCUCUGAUUUGUCACUUACGUUUAAGUCGAUAAUCUGGAAAGGUCGAUUUCACAGUCAAGUAACUAACGGAAUGAAACAGUAAAAAUAUUUGCUCAUCACACUUUUUUAUUAAAGUCACUGUAGGUUUGUUUUGUUUUAGCAGUCAGGUUUGUAGCUUCAGAUGCUUAUAGAACUUGUUAAAGAAUAUGCCAAACAGAAGUUUAUCAAAUGGUACAGUAUUGCACUCAUAUCAAAAUAAUUUCAUCUAAAUUACAAACUUUCAAAAAC